rnacentral:rRNA from 1 species
GAUGAACGCUGGCGGCGUGCCUAAUACAUGCAAGUCGAGCGAACAGACGAGGAGCUUGCUCCUCUGACGUUAGCGGCGGACGGGUGAGUAACACGUGGAUAACCUACCUAUAAGACUGGGAUAACUUCGGGAAACCGGAGCUAAUACCGGAUAAUAUAUUGAACCGCAUGGUUCAAUAGUGAAAGACGGUUUUGCUGUCACUUAUAGAUGGAUCCGCGCCGCAUUAGCUAGUUGGUAAGGUAACGGCUUACCAAGGCGACGAUGCGUAGCCGACCUGAGAGGGUGAUCGGCCACACUGGAACGGGGACACGGUCCAGACUCCUACGGGAGGCAGCAGUAGGGAAUCUUCGGCAAUGGGCGAAAGCCUGACGGAGCAACGCCGCGUGGGGGAUGAAGGUCUUCGGAUCGUAAAACUCGGUUAUUAGGGAAGAACAAAUGUGUAAGUAACUAUGCACGUCUUGACGGUACCUAAUCAGAAAGCCACGGCUAACUACGUG